rnacentral:rRNA from 1 species
CAGAUUGUAAGGAAUCGUACCCCAAACCGACACAGGUGGUCGGGUAGAGAAUACCAAGGCGCUUGAGAGAACUCGGGUGAAGGAACUAGGCAAAAUGGUACCGUAACUUCGGGAGAAGGUACGCUCUUGAUGGUGAAGUCCCUCGCGGAUGGAGCUAUUGAGAGUCGCAGAUACCAGGUGGCUGCAACUGUUUAUUAAAAACACAGCACUGUGCAAAAUCGUAAGAUGACGUAUACGGUGUGACGCCUGCCCGGUGCCGGAAGGUUAAUUGAUGGGGUUAGACUUC